rnacentral:rRNA from 1 species
UCGCACCUUUUGGAACUUAAGGUCAGUUCGGCUGGAUCGGUGACAGGUGCUGCAUGGCUGUCGUCAGCUCGUGUCGUGAGAUGUUGGGUUAAGUCCCGCAACGAGCGCAACCCUCGCCUUAGUUGCCAGCAUUCAGUUGGGCACUCUAAGGAGACUGCCGGUGUUAAACCGGAGGAAGGCGGGGAUGACGUCAAGUCCUCAUGGCCCUUAUGUCCAGGGCUACACACGUGCUACAAUGGCCGGUACAAAGGGUAGCAAGACCGCGAGGUGGAGCCAACCCCAAAAGCCGGUCUCAGUUCGGAUUGGAGUCUGCAACUCGACUCCAUGAAGUUGGAAUCGCUAGUAAUCGUGGAUCAGCAUGCCACGGUGAAUACGUUCCCGGGCCUU